rnacentral:rRNA from 1 species
UACGAAGGGGGCUAGCGUUGCUCGGAAUCACUGGGCGUAAAGGGUGCGUAGGCGGGUCUUUAAGUCAGAGGUGAAAUCCUGGAGCUCAACUCCAGAACUGCCUUUGAUACUGAGGAUCUUGAGUUCGGGAGAGGUGAGUGGAACUGCGAGUGUAGAGGUGAAAUUCGUAGAUAUUCGCAAGAACACCAGUGGCGAAGGCGGCUCACUGGCCCGAUACUGACGCUGAGGCACGAAAGCGUGGGGAAGCAAACAGGGA